AGGCUCUAUUUCCUGGGAGGUGGGCUCAGCCUGCCCCACUUCCCCUCAGCAGAGCCUAGAAUAAAGAGGCCAGGCCUCCUCCCUCAUGGGAGAGGUGUCUGAGGAAGGAGCCUCACCCAGGCUGGCCGGGCCUCACAUUU